rnacentral:sRNA from 1 species
AGGUACCAUUCGUACACGCCGGUUCCGAGUGCGCCUCCACGCCUAUCUGACGACUGCUCGCGACGUUCUGUCAGCC